rnacentral:rRNA from 1 species
CCUAGUAACGGCGAGUGAACAGGCAAGAGCUCAGAUUUGAAAGGCACUUUUGUGCCGUUGUAUUCUGAAGUUAGGGUCCUGAGAAACGAUGCUUAAGUCUUCUGGAAAGGAGCGCCAUGGAGGGUGAUAGCCCCGUCUAGCAUUGACCUCAUAUAGGAUCUUAACAUGGAGUCGAGUUGUUUGGGAAUGCAGCUCAAAUGGGUGGUAUGCUCCAUCUAAAGCUAAAUAUCUGCGAGAGACCGAUAGUAAACAAGUACUGUGAGGGAAAGAUGAAAAGAACUUUGAAAAGAGAGUGAAAAAGUACGUGAAAUUGUUGAAAUGGAAGGGUAGGCCGCUAACCAUGUAGAGCCGUGUUUGGGGGGAAGAUAAAUGCUGUAGAAUGUAGCUCCUCGGAGUAUUAUAGAUGCAGUUCAUAUUCCCACCCGAGCGCGAGGAUCUCAGGUUCUACUAAAUGGUGGUCUACCACCCGUCUUGAAACACGGACCAAAAA